AGAGUUUGAUCCUGGCUCAGGAUGAACGCUAGCUACAGGCUUAACACAUGCAAGUCGAGGGGAAACGAUAUUGGAAGCUUGCUUCCGAUAGGCGUCGACCGGCGCACGGGUGAGUAACGCGUAUCCAACCUGCCCACCACUUGGGGAUAACCUUGCGAAAGUAAGACUAAUACCCAAUGAUAUCUCUAGAAGACAUCUGAAGGAGAUUAAAGAUUUAUCGGUGAUGGAUGGGGAUGCGUCUGAUUAGCUUGUUGGCGGGGUAACGGCCCACCAAGGCGACGAUCAGUAGGGGUUCUGAGAGGAAGGUCCCCCACAUUGGAACUGAGACACGGUCCAAACUCCUACGGGAGGCAGCAGUGAGGAAUAUUGGUCAAUGGGCGAGAGCCUGAACCAGCCAAGUAGCGUGAGGGAUGACUGCCCUACGGGUUGUAAACCUCUUUUAUAAGGGAAUAAAACGGAGCACGCGUGCUCCUUCGCAUGUACCUUAUGAAUAAGCAUCGGCUAACUCCGUGCCAGCAGCCGCGGUAAUACGGAGGAUGCGAGCGUUAUCCGGAUUUAUUGGGUUUAAAGGGAGCGCAGACGGGACUUUAAGUCAGCUGUGAAAUUUUCCGGCUCAACCGGGAAACUGCAGUUGAUACUGGCGUCCUUGAGUACGGUCGAGGCAGGCGGAAUUCGUGGUGUAGCGGUGAAAUGCUUAGAUAUCACGAAGAACCCCGAUUGCGAAGGCAGCCUGCCAGACCGCAACUGACGUUCAUGCUCGAAAGUGCGGGUAUCAAACAGGAUUAGAUACCCUGGUAGUCCGCACGGUAAACGAUGAAUACUCGCUGUCGGCGAUACACUGUCGGCGGCCAAGCGAAAGCGUUAAGUAUUCCACCUGGGGAGUACGCCGGCAACGGUGAAACUCAAAGGAAUUGACGGGGGCCCGCACAAGCGGAGGAACAUGUGGUUUAA
rnacentral:rRNA from 1 species